rnacentral:rRNA from 1 species
AGCGAACGCUGGCGGCAUGCCUAACACAUGCAAGUCGAACGAGAGCGCCUGGUCUUCUGGGUGACGGAUGGGUGAGGAACGGGAAGGUGCCUGUCGGGGGGGGGGGGAUAAGAGCGGUAAACUCUAAUACAUUCUGCAUUAUUCCGAGCAAUGAUUGCUGGGGGCAGAGUGGACAGGCGCCGGCUGAGGGGCUUGGGUGCGAUUUGGUGGUUGGAGGGGUCGCGGCCCACCAAGUCGUCGAGCGGUAGCUGGUCUGAGAGGGUGAUCAGCCACACCGGGACUGAGACACGGCCCGGACUCCUACGGGAGGCAGCAGUGGGGAAUAUUGGACAAUGGGCGAAAGCCUGAUCCAGCAAUGCCGCGUGGGUGAAGAAGGUCUUAGGAUUGUAAAGCCCUUUCGGCGGGGACGAUAGUGACGGUACCGGCAGAAGAAGCUCCGGCUAACUUCGUG